GUUGUCCGGAUUUAUUGGGCGUAAAGCGAGCGCAGGCGGUUAGAUAAGUCUGAAGUUAAAGGCUGUGGCUUAACCAUAGUACGCUUUGGAAACUGUUUAACUUGAGUGCAAGAGGGGAGAGUGGAAUUCCAUGUGUAGCGGUGAAAUGCGUAGAUAUAUGGAGGAACACCGGUGGCGAAAGCGGCUCUCUGGCUUGUAACUGACGCUGAGGCUCGAAAGCGUGGGGAGCAAACAGGAUUAGAUACCCUGGUAGUCCAUGCCGUAAACGUUGGGCACUAGGUGUGGGGAACAUUCCACGUUUUCCGCGCCGUAGCUAACGCAUUAAGUGCCCCGCCUGGGGAGUACGGCCGCAAGGCUAAAACUCAAAGAAAUUGACGGGGGCCCGCACAAGCGGCGGAGCAUGCGGAUUAAUUCGAUGCAACGCGAAGAACCUUACCAAGGCUUGACAUAUACUGGACCGCAUCAGAGAUGGUGUUUCCCUUCGGGGCUGGUAUACAGGUGGUGCAUGGUUGUCGUCAGCUCGUGUCGUG
rnacentral:rRNA from 1 species